CGAUGCUGCGAUGGUGGACGUGUUGCGAGCCGGGUCAGCGAGCUAGUGCUAGAGAGAAGAACGACAUCUCGUUGCAUGAUGUUGAGGAGGAUUUCGGUGUUGACUAAUCGGACGAUGAUAAUACUUAGAUUAUAACUAAUCAUACGGUGAGCAAGACGGCUGCUGUUUUCCCCCGCUACAUCUGAAUGACGCCUAGCAUGCACCAAAAAAUAUUGUUUCCCUGAUGCAGCGAGCCUAGAUACAUACUUUUUUUAGAGUACGCAAUCGCGUACCUUAGCUUUAUAGAAUAUUAAGCAUACCUUAGCUUUAUAGAAUAUUAGACGAUGCCCCGCACGUUGCUACGGAAAAUUUGUUAAAAAAUAUAUGAAUAAAUGUUAAAAAACUAAUGUUAAUGUAAAAACCAUUAUAAAAAUGUCUUGCUUAAUUACCUAUAAAAAAUUCAUGAGAUUAAUGAAAAAGUAAUUUAUGUCUACAUGCAUGACUUGAUGAUGUGGCAUUGUUGCAUAGAGAGAAAAUUUGAGUAGUAGGUUCUAGCUAUUUAAGAAUAGAAGAUACAAGAAGUUUGUUAGAGCAUCUCUAGUUGAACGUGUAAAUUUGGACGUGCAUAUCUUCAUAUACACGUCCAUAUACACCUUGCUAAAUUUUAC
rnacentral:lncRNA from 1 species